CAGUUACCCGGUUCAUAUGCUACCUACUACUACUCGAUCGAUUGGUCCAGAGACUAUGCUCGAGAGAUGAGACAACCAUCGAUCGAUAUACAUAUGUGUGUCCAGUUUGUGCUUUGUGCUUGUCUUAAUUAUAUCGGAUAUGUGGAAUAAAUGUGUGUUUACUUCCGUUUGAUACAUGAAAGUAUUUAUGUUACUCUGUUAUUAUGCUUGUUAGGUCCACCAGGGCCUCCAUAAUGCCAAGCCCGUCAAUGCUUCUUUUGUUUGAUCAGCUGAUCUCGAUCAGGCCCUGGUUUGAGAUAGCGGGGUUUAUUUCCUGUUCCUGCCAGAAUUCAACACUUCAUUGCCUCUUUGGUUCAAAGGAUUUUUAUAGUAGGAUUUUGGGAGGAUUGAAAAAAAAUUAGGAGUUAGUUCUAGGUUGGUCGUUUGAUUAGUAUGAUUGAAUCUAUAGGGAUUUCCAUAGUAAAUCUUAGCAUCCACUCCAAUCUGCUGGAAAAUUUCUUUGCUUUUCUUGUGAUGCAAUCAAACAAACUCCAAAGUCAAAUCAUGUAGGAUUCAAUUGGGCAUGACACUCUAAGGCUUCCUCUGGAUAUCAUGAGAAUAGGAAAAUCAUAAGAAAUGAGAUGACAUGUAUUUCAAUUUCAUGGAGAAAGAGAUGUCAUUCGAUGCAUAGGAUAGGAAUUUUGUCAUUGAGUCUAGGGUAAUGUUUUUUUUCCUUUGAAAUGCGAAGUAUUGGUUCCUAUCCUACAUAAGAAUAGUAAUCCAUUUCUACAAAGUAAAGGGCUCCGAAGGAAUUUUACCUUUGAAAAUUAUAUCCUAUAUAACUCCCACAAAAUUCCUACAGACCAAAGGAAGCCUGGUCAUGUAUUCUUCCUAUUCCGGUGUUUUUACAAUCAUGCGAAUGAAAUAAGUCCAGGCCUUCUUUGGUUUAGAGGAAUUUUGUAAGAAUUCUAAAGGAUAGAAAUUUUGUAGGCAAAAUUCCUUUGGAGCCAUUUGCUUUGUAGGAAUGGAUUCCUGAUCCUGUGUAGAAUACGAAUUAAUCCUUCACAUUUCAAAGGCCAAUGGAAAAAUUCCUACCGUAUGAAUCAAGUGACAUCUCUUUCUCUAUAGGAAUUGAGAAGUAACAUCUCUUUCCCUAUAGAAAUUGAGAUACAUGUCUUCUCUUCCUAUGGUUUCCUAUUCCUAUCAUAUGAACCAAACGAGUGGAAUUUCCCACGAUAUUUCUGUGUUCCAAACAGGCCACUAGUUAUGCGAAUCGAACAGUUUCAUGUGAAGUUCCUGCAUUCCAAACAGGCCGUUGUUUACGGUUUACCAGACAGUUUGGUAGCCUCUACUUACAUGGCGGCACCAAGGAUGUUUGCAGUCACAGAACAGGCUCAAGCUCCCAAUAUAGAAACUACCCAAAUCCAUGUCUACAUCAAUAGUAUCUUUCAGGGUACUAUGCCUCAUAAGAUCAUAUAUACCAAUUAUGGAAACAUUUUGUGGCAUGUGAAAUGGAUACAGAUGAUCACGUCGACAUCUACCGACUUAUUCCUCCGUGGGCGUUUUCUCCCACAUAAUCCAGCACAUCUAGUGUCACCGCCUACAAGCUUCAAUUCACACUGCUUACAGUUUUGAUGCUGCGACAUAGCUCUGCUCAGAAUGCCCCUCGACAAAGCUCUGCUUGGCAUGUUUGCCAGAUAGCCAGGGAGCGAGCGCGUCGACCAGCCUCUUGAUGUCAUCCGAGGAAUGAGAAGCACUCAAAGUUAUUCGCAGCCUGCCAAGAGAUUCAUGGCCAGUUAAUCUUGGUCGACAGUUGAAACAGAGUCUCAUUGGUGAUCAUCUGUACUAACAUCGAGCAGGAAUCCAUAGAUACAGAGACAUGCAUGCUACAACAGAUCUUGCUAAUUAUGACAUUGUGCUAUAUGCCCUUAAUCGAAAAGUCCUAGUCCAGUUACUUGGACACAGGGUUGCAGGUUCUAUAUUGGUGAAGUUCAUGACAAGACACUGGAUUGCAAACGAAAAAACAGAAGGGAGGAGGGACCUGCAUGAGUUGGGCGGCACGGUGGGUGGUCGAAUUGGUGUAACAUGAAAUCCAGAUCUUAGCAUAUGCCUGCAGUUCAAAGAUGGAAUAAUUAGGAACAUAAGAUGACCAGACUGGCACUAAAUAAAAUUGGAAGGAAGAGAUAUAACCUGCCAGCCCUCAAUGCUGCUUCUUCACUUCCUACUACUAUGGAAAUUAUGGGACUAGUUAUAUUGAGUUUAGUCAAGGAUGCAAAAUACUGCACAUGCCUCCAGACCAAUAAUCUCCGCCAUCGUUCCUUCCUCGAGACAUGGAGCGCAGCUGAAAUGAGAAAACAGCACGGAUGUUUGAAGCAGUGUGAUAGUUUCUCUUUCAGAAAAAUGCAAGUUCCUGAUAACUAUAGUUUCUUAAGCUAGCUGAAGUGUUUGUACCCAGUUAUCAUUCUUACUGACCAAUGUGAAAGCACUAGUCAUCAUUUUAAGCAUUUCCUAAUGAAAAGAAGGUAAGAGAAAAUAGUGGACAUCAGCCCAAUAAAUGGAACACAACAAUGACAGACCGCUAGCUUGCGAUAUUCAUUUUAGAGGGUUCUAUGACAUACUCCCUUCGUCCCAUAAUAUAAGAACGUUUUUGACACUACACUAGUGUCAAAAACAUUCUUAUAUUAUGGGACGGAGGGAGUAGUUGGUAUGUUGUGAAUAUUACCUUGAACAGAAGCAACUACUGGCACUGGCAAAGCAGUUGAAAAAAUGAACGAACGACCUCGCGACUGAAUUAAACUCUUCCAUCGGGUGCUGCUCAACACAUUGCAAUUUUUUAGUUAUUAGCCAGUAAACUAUCAAGAUAUCAUAGUAAGUCCAAAGUGUAGGGAAGCCAUGCAGUGUGGAGUGCUGAUAUUCCAGAGUCAAGUGUCCAGUACCAUAAAUAUACAGUGUUGCAAAUGUGCAUAACAUCCUAUUCAUUGAAUUAUAAGCAUGGGGCACUGUGGUGCAAAUUUGCCAAAGCUAAUUUAUAUGAUAUGAUCCAGAACCUUGAAAAUCACUUUAUGUGAUCUCGUUUUUUUUUUUACUAAAAUCAGUGCCGCAAUGUACAAAAGUGUGUGCAUUCAUACGACAACCUGAUAUAAGUGUCUGUUUACCUGCAUGCCACAAACCCACCCUGGCAGCCAGCAGCCUUGCUCAAGGUGCCAACACUUAUGUCAAUUCCACUCUCACAUUCAAGCAGCUCGGGUACACCACCACCAUUAUCACCACAAACAAGUGUUCCAUGGGCCUGUCCAAGGAAAAUCGCAACAAAAUCGAUCACUAAGAAAUUCUGCAAAACUGUAUCUGAGGGGAGAUAAAAUUACUAACAUCAUCGAUGACCAAUAAAAAUCCAUACUUCCUGCGUAGUUCCACAAGUUCAGGUAAUGGAGCAAAAUCACCAUCCAUGCUAAACAAGCUGCAUUGUAUCAAUAAAAGAGUAUCUGAAUUUGGUGCUCUGACAAUAUGCAUACACAAGCAUGCCUCUACUUAUACUUCACACAAACAUAAAUAUACUUUUUAAGUGAGGAAAUUAAAUUUGAGAAAAAACUUGCCUAUCUGUGACAACAACUUUCUUUUUUAUUGAGCAACUGGACCUGCACGGAUAAUGGUAUUGUAUUGUAGCUAUCUCAGUUCAUGAUUACAUAUGGCAUAUUAUGCAAUAAUGAUAUUAUGACUGAAAAGUGAAAAAACAUACAGGAGGAAAUCAAGAUGGGACAUGUCACAGUGCUUGUAGACAAACACUACAGCUUCUUGCUGCCGCUCAAUAAGGCGAAUCCCAUCGAUGAUUGAAGCAUGAUUCAGGGCAUCUGAAAAAAUAGCAAUUCUCUCGUCCUUUGCAGGUUUUCUGCCAACCGCCAAAAGAGAGCUGAUACUUCCCAGAGCAGUCAUCACAGCCAUAUUGGCAGAAAAUCCGGUGGGGCAGAGAAGGCAAUCCUGUAGAAAAACUCUAAAGUGAGGAUGCAAAACUUGUGAAAUAAUGACUACUUGAACUAAAAAAAUACGACGCUGGACCUCUUUUUUCUUCAACUCUGCCAAUGAUUCCUCCACCAAUUUGUGAUAAGUAGUAUACCCACAUAUCAAUGCGGAGCCUCUAGGGCCCAUGCCAUACUCUUGAGCUGCCUAGCAAACGCACCCAAUCGUUAGCUCAAGCAGAGACUCGUCGAUUCAGAGUACUCUACAGUCCUAACAAUCGCCACGAUUGCAGAACUUGCACACCUUUGCUGCGGCCUCACGGACUGCCGGAUGUGAGCUGAGUCCCAUGUAGUCAUUCCCGGAGAAAAGAAUGAGCUUCUCACCCAGCUCCUCUUCCUGGCCACUGGCCUCGCCACCUAAACCAAACGUGCCCAUGAACAAGCCAUGUAGUGAGCACUAGCAGUAAAUCUUGAAAGUGCAAUAUAACCAGAAACUAUAAAUAAAUAAACACAAAUAAACUCUGGAGCGUUGUUCUUUCUUUUUGCAAACCAUAUCCUAACAGCUAACAGGGACACAGUCACACAGCAAGGCAUCAAGUAUAUAUUAAUAACACCCAAAAAUAGUAAGCGGAAUUGUCUAGGGCGUUAUAGCGAGCAAGGGAGGUAUAUUGACACUGCCUGCUGCAGACCUUCGGCGAGCCACUGGUGGAGGGUGGCGCGGUCGAGGCGGAUCUCGACGGCGGCGCGGUCCCACGGGCCGGGGCCUGGGAAGGUCUCCGGCGGCGCGGGCGGCAGCGCCAGGGAGAUGGGGCGCGUGGCGCGCAGGAGGCUCCUGGACGCCAGCUCGCCGAGCGCGGCGUCCACGAGCGCGUCCCAUUGCGCCAUUCCGUCGAACAGGCGGCCGCCGCUCCCUCCUCGCUGGUGGUGGGACGGAGAGGACGAGGCGCGGACACGGAGAAGGGUCACAUGACAGAGCGGUUGGCCCACGCUUCCGUGACCAACAACGUCAGCCCAACCAGGAUCGGCCCGAGUUAAAGACUAUAUUGGGCCACAGGCCCACAACCGAUUGUAUUGUACUCGGCCCCGUGACGCUCAUCGUGUCUCAGUUUCCCUGAAAAAACGGUAGUCAUGUCUCGGUCAAGCCGCCUCGAGCUUUCCCUCGAAAAAAAGAGACCGCCUCCACCACCACCAGCUCUCCACUCCGGCGACUCGAGCGCUCCUUUCGCCGGCGGGCGGUGGUUCUGCGCGGCGGUUGCUCGUGUAUAGGUGCGACUCCCUCUCGCGCUCCCGACUCCUCCUCUCCACAUCUCAGACACGAAGUCCCUCGUCUGCACGCUUGUUUUCAGUAGCCUCUGUUUAUGCUUGGUUUCUGCUACGUCCUGUCACAAUUAUGCCGGAUCCGUCUGUUAUGCUCGCGCGUGGUGUUCAGCCUAGUUUUCGAUGUGUUCGUGCCUGAUUUUGUGAUGAACUGAUGAUGGCAUGCUGUUGUUCUCGCUUUCGCGUGGUAGGGUUUCAGUUCAGCCCCUUUAUGUUGAGCACGAUCGAGGCGAAAUAGUUCAUACCAUGCCUGGUAUUACAUGAUUAUGUGAUACUUUCUGUAGACCUGGUAUAGAACAUGUUUGUGGCAUGCUUGUUUAGUUCAUAUGGGAAGAACUGUGACUGUCCUUACCGGCUGAUUUUAUUUUGGCAAACACAUUGAUGGAUUCCUGUCUUUUCUACUGUGAUUGCUUUUCUUCGAGCCACGAGCUUGGGAUUUGAGAAUGAUUCUUAGCUAUUUUCAGUUGCCACUUUGUCAUUAGGUAUGCAGUAAUUUGUCUUUGGAUUAUCUACUUGUUGUUGCUUGCGUAGUUCAGAACUGUUGUUAUUUUUCUGAAAAUCUGUAAGUUUGGACGGGGAAAUUCGAACAGCAUAUAUUUCAUAACGGUCAAGGAUGUGGAACUUAUGAAUACUUGUGUUUACGAGUUUGCACGUGACUGUGUGCUUUUAAUAUUUUAAUUGGCAGUUUAUAUACAUUGCGUGUUCUUGUUCAGGCUCUCGGUUAUGCGGCCUGCCGGCCCACCAAUAUAAGAGCUGGUUCGCGAGAAAAUGAUGUUUGGAGAUUUUUCACUUUGAUUGGUGUCACGUCAUGAUUUUUUUGCUCCAGUUGUUAUUGUUCUUGUCAUGUUGCUGUACUGUGUGGAUAUAUAGUUUGCGUGCCAUCUACUUAUAUAGAGUCAUGAAAACGUUGACUUUAUUCUGCUUUUACAUAGUGCUUGCUCGUAAUUUUAGGACUUUAGGUAUAUAUGCAAGGUUUAGCCAGCAGAGUUUGUCUCAAUUUUAGAUUUAGAUGUCAAAAAUUGUUUGAGUGUCCCCUGUUGGUGAGUUUUCGUAUGGUUCCGGUACCUGUGUUACAGAAUGGCUUCAUCUCAUUGACUUCAUUAAGCAUUACUAUGUUUCUUAUGUUGGAAAACUGAGAAAUUCAAAGCAGAUUGCACCCUGUUGCUAUUUUUUACAUUGAAUAUCUACAAUUUAUUCCGGAAUAAUGUACGUGAAAUCUAGAAGCUUGCCUCUGAUACCUGUUUUUUGUUGAACAAUCAGGAAAAUGUCAUCAAAUCCUGAAGAAGGCAAGCGUUAUGCACGCAGAGACCUUUUGCUCAAGAUCCAGUCAGAUGCUCAUAAGUGUUGGGAGGAUAGCAAAGUUUUUCAUGCUGAGCCGGGCAAUAAAUCUCCAGGCCCUGGUGAAAAAUUCUUCGGCAACUUUCCGUAUCCUUACAUGAAUGGAUUGCUUCAUUUGGGACAUGCGUUCUCAUUGUCCAAGCUUGAGUUUGGUGCUGCAUACCACAGACUCCGUGGCUCAAAUGUUCUAUUGCCAUUUGCUUUCCACUGUACUGGGAUGCCAAUCAAGGCCUCAGCUGAUAAGCUGGCCAGGGAGAUACAACAGUAUGGAAACCCUCCAGUGUUUCCUCAACCAGAGAAUAAUUCAAGUGCUGAAGUGGCAGAUGAUAGAGAAGUUGAGCAGGCUGCUGUCGUUACCCCAGAUAAAUUUAAGAGCAAGAAAUCUAAGGCUGCUGCAAAGACUGGCAUGCAGAAGUUCCAAUGGGAGAUCAUGAAGAGCUUUGGCCUGUUAGAUGAACAAAUUGCCAAAUUUCAAGAUCCUUAUCACUGGUUGACCUACUUCCCUCCGUUGGCGGUAAAAGACCUUAAGGACUUUGGCUUAGGUUGUGAUUGGAGGCGUUCAUUCAUAACCACCAACAUGAAUCCUUUCUAUGAUGCUUUUGUUCGAUGGCAGAUGAGAAAGCUCAAGAAAAUGGGGAAAGUUGUCAAGGACCUGAGGUACACAAUCUACUCCCCAUUGGAUGGCCAACCUUGCGCCGACCAUGACAGGGCAACAGGUGAAAAUGCACAGCCACGAGAAUAUGUGCUGAUUAAAAUGGAGGUGAUUCCACCUUUUCCCACAAAGUUGAAGGUCUUGGAAGGAAAAAAUGUUUAUUUGGCAGCAGCUACAUUGAGACCAGAGACUAUGUAUGGCCAAACAAACUGUUGGGUGCUGCCUAAUGGAAUUUACGGGGCUUUUGAGAUCAAUGAUGCCGAUGUCUUCAUUCUGACAGCAAGGUCUGCUCUUAAUCUUGCAUAUCAGAAUCUAUCCAGGGUCCCCGAAAAGCCAACCUGCCUAGCUGAGCUUUCUGGCAAUGAUUUGAUUGGUUUGCCAUUAAAGUCUCCUCUUUCCUUCAAUGAAAUCAUAUAUGCGCUUCCCAUGCUCACUAUCUUAACAGAUAAAGGUACUGGCAUUGUGACUAGUGUUCCAAGUGAUUCGCCAGACGAUUUCAUGGCACUGCAAGCUUUAGUCACAAAGCCGGCAUUGAGAGCAAAAUUUGGAGUCAAAGACGAGUGGGUUCUUCCAUUUGAUAUUAUACCAAUAAUCGACAUUCCUGGAUUUGGAGACAAGUCAGCUGAGAAGGUGUGUGUUGAUCUUAAGAUUACGAGCCAAUACGACAAGGAAAAACUUGCUGAAGCGAAAAGGAUGACAUAUCUUAAAGGGUUUACAGAAGGAGUGAUGGUUGUAGGGGAGUACAAUGGCAGAAAGGUUGAAGAAGCAAAGCCACUGAUUAAGAACAAGCUUUUGGAAGAAGGCUUGGCUGUUUUGUAUAGUGAGCCUGAGAAAAAAGUUAUGUCAAGAUCUGGUGAUGAGUGUGUCGUUGCUCUCACAGAUCAAUGGUACAUAACUUAUGGUGAGGUUGAAUGGAAGCAGAAGGCGGUCAAAUGUUUGAAGAACAUGAAUACAUUUUCAGCUGAAACUCGUAAUGGGUUCGAGCAUACAUUGGGCUGGCUGAACAAGUGGGCUUGUUCACGUUCUUUUGGCCUAGGUACUCGCCUUCCAUUUGAUGAACAGUUCCUUGUAGAAUCUCUUUCUGAUUCAACUCUAUACAUGGCGUAUUACACGAUUGCGCAUCUUCUACAAAAUGGUGACAUGUAUGGAAAAGAAAGAUCUUCUAUUAGGCCAGAGCAAAUGACGGAUGAGGUAUGGGAUUAUGUUUUCUGUGAUGGUCUGGCACCCAAAAGCGACAUCCCUCCUGCUCUGUUGAGCAAAAUGAAGCAAGAAUAUGAGUACUGGUAUCCCUUGGAUAUUCGGGUAUCUGGUAAGGAGCUUAUCCAGAACCAUCUGACAUUCAGCAUUUACACUCAUACAGCUAUCCUUCCAGAGCAUCAUUGGCCUCGUGGAUUCCGCUGCAAUGGACAUCUUAUGCUUAACUCUGAGAAAAUGUCCAAGUCAACAGGGAAUUUCCAAACUCUUGGGCAGGCCAUUAAAGUGUACUCUUCAGAUGCCACCAGGUUUGCCCUUGCUGAUGCGGGUGAUGGUAUGGAUGAUGCAAAUUUUGUCACUGAAACUGCAAAAUCUGCCAUCAUGAGGCUUACAAAAGAAAUUGCAUGGAUGGAAGAGGUUAUAGCUUCUCAAUCUUCUCUGAGAUCUGGUCCUCCCUCUACUUAUGCUGACCAUGUGUUUGCCAAUGAGAUCAACAUUGCUGUGAAUGAAACCGAGAAGAGCCACAGUUCUUUUAUGUUCAGAGAUGCCUUGAAGUCUGGGUUCUAUGACCUACAAUUGGCUAGAGAUGAGUACAGGCUCUCUUGUGGAGCGGCAGGCAUGAAUCGUGAUUUAUUGGUGCGGUUCAUGGAAGUUCAGACGAGGCUCAUCACCCCAAUUUGUCCACACUAUGCUGAACAUGUGUGGCAGAAUAUCCUAAGCAAGGAAGGUUUUGCAAUAAAGGCUGGAUGGCCUAUCGCAGACACUCCCGAUCCUACUCUUAGAAUAGCAAACAAGUAUUUACAGGAUUCGAUUGUUUUGAUGAGGAAGCUGCACCAGAAGCAAGGAUCAGGCUCCAAGAAACACAAGAAGGGCGCGGCACCACCUCGGACCGCAGAGAACAAGCUCACUGUCGGUCUCAUAUAUGUCAACGAGCACUAUGACGGAUGGAAAGAGCAAUGCCUGAGGGUGCUUCAAUCGAAUUAUGAUAGCCAAACGCGUUUGUUUGCUCCUGACGAGGACAUUAGUGAGGCACUGAAGAAUUGCUUCAUUGAACAUGAAGCAAGCUUCACACAAGUCCAGAAGCUCUGCAUGCCUUUCAUCAGGUUCAAGAAAGAUGAAGCAAGGACCAUUGGUCCCCAGGCUUUGAAUUUGAAGCUUCCGUUUGGUGAAAUGAACGUGCUUGAGGAGAACCUGGAGCUGAUCAAAAGGCAGCUGGGCCUUGAGCAUGCAGAGGUGCUGUCGGCAUCUGAUGGAGCUGCUCGUGCCAGAGCUGGACGGCAUGUUUCUGUGCUGAACAACAACCCGCCUUCCCCUGGGGAGCCAGUUGCAAUAUUCAUGAGCAAGCAGGAGUUCGAAGCCCAAAACUAAGCUCAGCUUCAUCGAUGUAAGUCAUACUAUUAGCUUGCCUUACAUGUUUGCAGCUUGGCCAUUUCAUGUUAGUCAUGGGUGUAAUUAUUAUGAGAAUAAAUGUAGGUUGUAUUGCAGUGUUGUGGUCUGAAACUGGUUCCUCCUUGUGAUGGUUUGCUCUACUGUUAAGGCUCAAUUCGCUUCUAGAUUAAUGUGUUUAGUCAGAUUACAUGCACCCAUGUGUACACAAGUUCUGCUAUGCUUUUUGGCUGCACUGAAACCAAGUUCUAGAAUGUUCAGGAAAAACAAGUUCUGCACUGAAAUCUCUGUUCAUUUACCAUGCCUUGUAUGUGAUAUGUAUGGGGCUUUUUACCUGUCGUGGCAAUCCUGUGUGCUAUAUGUAGCUUGGGAAAUCAUGUAUAUAAAUGAGUGAUUUGUGUCUAGAAUCUCCUGCACCGUUGUCAGCCUUAUUAAAGAUAGAAACUCUGCCACUUGAUGUUACUGCUGCAACAGAAAUGUUGUCAGGCUUACUCAAGAUGGUCACUAGAUCACUCCAUGCUGGUAGUGUUGUAGCAGAAGAUGGGUCAGUAGCAUUACUGUAGUUGUGCCUUACGUCGCAGGGUAAUUGGCUCAUAGUGCUGAGGUAAAUAUCACUUUUGACAUUGUGUGUUUGUUAUGCGGUGUAUGGAUUCAUCUGUUGCGACACUCCUAUGAGGUAUAUGCUGCUUGAGGUCAUGUAUGAAAUGUGCUGAGGUUCUUCUUCCUUUGGAUGAAUAGGUGAGGAAAGGAAAGCUGGCGUGCUUGACGGUGUGAGGAUCCGAGAAGGUCAAGGAUUCAGAAAUGGUAGGCAUGCUGUUUGACGUGGCUGUUCAUUCAUGGGAGUGACUUCGAAUUCAUCAUACGGAAGAACUGAGGAAGUGCAGCCAUUGGGAAAUUGUACCAUACUUGCACAGGUUGACACGUGGGACGCCCACGAUCAGUCCCGCCUGCAGCCUGACAUGACAUGUUAAUUUGGCAGGUUUCCUGUGUUUAGACUUGAACAUACUUUUUUGCCUCGUGUGAAUAUUACAAAGGAAUAGGUUGAUGCGUGAGAACGAUUCCUGAGCUCCAUGCUCUUGUACAAUUAGUGCAAAAAACACUAUUAUAUUAUGGGACGGAGGAAGUAGCUUUUAAGCUUGCUUGUCUAUACAUCUUUUUUCUGAACAAGGCGUGUACAUUUUACAACUUCUCUGCUGUGUGCUUGUGAAGGUAUUAGUACAGAAGCCCUGGAGUUUUUACUAGGGAGUAUGGAACUCCAAGCCCUGGAGCGCGCUUCUCGCGAAUUGGCGCUUGAAACUUGGAAUUGCACUUGUUAUUAACAGUUGAAACAUUCAAGUUACUGUCAGCUCAAAAUGCUCUUGUUAUUCUUGGUUUCUUUACCCUUUCCAAAUGCAGUGGAGGCCAUCAGUUGUGUGCUCCAUGCAUGUGUUUCUUUAGUGCGCUGUACUCCAAGUGAGAGACCAAAAGCGGGGGAAACGGAGAGGAAGAAGAUGCAAACUAAACCAUACUGUAUGUUACAGAAGACUGGUGUAAUUGAUCAUGUAGAUCGAUCGAUCUGUUGGCUCCUGUUGUGACAAACUCGUGGUGGUGCUUGCUCCUUAUGGCACCGUUUGCCACACUGAUCACACACAGGAGGACGGAUGAAGUGAACUGAACUGAGCAGAGGAGCGUCAGGUCAGUCGAUCAAUCAAAGUAAACGUCGUGCCAGCUCCUCCGGCCGAGAAGCGCGGACUCGGGCGGCCACGCCCCCCACGCAUGGCGCGAGCCUACUGGACCGAAGCCCAAUCAGUCGCCGUCGGGGGAGACGCCCGCCAGUGCCGCCGGGCCAUGCCAUGCCAUGCCAGCGUGCACGCCACUGUGGCUCGUUCGCCUCAGGGUGCAGUGGCGCCGGUGCGCAGCGCGUGGCGUGCGCCGCGCACAUGGGGAGCGAGCGGCGCCGAGGCGAGGGCGGGCGCGCGCGGGGCUGCCGGGCACACGCACAUGGUCAACCGGCACAUGCCCGCCCCCUGUGCGCGCUGCGACCCCGUGCUCCGCACCGCGGCGCGUCCGUUCGUGGUUCACCCUCCACCUGGCGAGUGAUCGCCAGAGGGCAGGGGGCACGCGGGUGCGGCACCGCCACCCACCACGACGCACCGGCGCCGCCCGGGCCUACCGACGAUCUCUUCUCCGGCGACCGAUCGAUCCCGCACAGGGGCCUGUCGCUCGGCCAGCCGGGCUGCACCUGCACACACACACCCACCGGCGGCCACGCGUUCCACGCCAUGUUACGCACAGUCCAUGGGCCGAGCACGCACAGUGGCGGUACACAUAUAGAAUAUCUUUUCUGCCGGGGACCGCGGCCGGGUAAGUAAAAUCCCUGGCCUGAAGAUCAAACAAAGCUUUUGGAAGAAGCUUAUUAAAAAGGGGUCCCAGGGAAUGAUGGGAAGUGCGGAAGCAACCGUGGCCGCGGGUAAACGCCUAGCUAGGAGAGGCCCAGACCCAAGGCCAAGGCCAAGGGGGCACGCACGCACGACACGAUCACUGCACAUGGUACGGCGCCAUGCCAUGCCACCCGGACCCGGCCGAUCUAGAAGGAGUCAGUAGCCUGACAGGAUCAAAAUAAGCAAGGCAGCAUCAUGGUAAACGCAGGCACCAACAUGCGCUGCAAUUUGCAGGACGCCAACCGCGAACGCAAUCCCGACCGAUUAGUUAUAUGGGAAUCCAAGGAAACCCCGGCCCAAUUAUAGGGGCUCGCCUCACUCACUCGCCGCCACAAAAAUCCAAGGAAACCGAGCACAGCAGGCAAGCCUGUUUUGCUUCCAGAGAAGAGGAGAGCGUGCUCGUGCAGGGGCGCUCCGAGAGCCAGCCCCGGGCCCGACCAGGAGACCAUCGCCUCGCCCUCGUCCAUGUGCUCCGAUCCCAAUGCCGUAUUGCCAUCCAUCCACUGAUCCACACAGGCACACAGUAGCAUGGUGUACAAUAUGCUCCGCCAUGCGCCCGCCCCUUGCUUUUCCGGUUCUGCACUGGAUGCAUGGGCAGGCAGUCAUUUUCACAUCACAGCUUGGCUUGCAGCUGCAGGUACAACCGCGUUGGUUGUCUCCACUCUGCUUUGGCAGCUAAAGCCAAGGCCAGUGGGCACACCGGACGACGGACUGGACAGCAACAUCAACGUGCGGCUCCUCCCUCCAGCAGGGCCUGCGUGGGUGAGUUGUAAAAACAUGCAAACAGGCGUGGGGGGGGAGGGGGAGGGUGGUGUGCAGUGUGCUAUGCUACCUUUGGCCUUUGGGGAUGGAAUGGAUGGAUGGGCUGGUUGUGUCACCAGCAAGGCACCAGCCACCAGGGUGGUGGUGAAAGGAACAGAGCGUUGCGCAUGUCCCUGCCAGCUUCUUCUGGCAAAUGGGCCCAAGCUGUCAGCCAUUGUAUUUUGGAUUCAACUCAGUUCACUUCUUUUUUUUUCGGUGAGAAGUGAACUGAGAGAAAAUACCCUGGUUCGUCCAAAUAUAAGACGAGGGAAAUGAUUUGAAGUCAUUCAACGCAAUUAGAUCUCGUCCGAACAAAGAAGGGCAGAUGGAUACUUAUUAUUUAGCAUAGUCAUGAUAAAAAAAAUUGUAAAGAAGGAUGACCCCUCAGCCUUUGCAUCAGAACGAUGCAUGCAACCAUCAUAGGCGUGAUAAUGGUGUGCUGCAACGUUUUUUUUUUUUUGCAUGAGGCCGUCACAUCACAUCACAUUGUGGCACUGGUAUGAAAUGGGCUUGAUGCUGAUAUGUGCCACCCCUGUGGUGUGCACAUCAAAAUGGUGUGCAGGUUUUACACGGAUUUACCCAACCAUGCACAUCAAAAGAUCUACGUGAUGUUGUUUCUUUUUUGUAAAGGAGCGACGUUGCUUCUUUUACAAGACUGAAUUUGCAAAUUACAGAAUCUGAUAUACUUCUUUUGUUGUUUUCGAGAUCGCACUCAUGUGAAUAUCUUAUAGAAUUCACCAAUGGAAAAUCAUGUAUGUCUUGACUUCUUCAAGAAUGAACCCUACUGUACCGUAUAUGAACAACAAGACAUGAACUCUACCCGCAAAAAAAAACACGUCAACUUUUUUGUGUAACGAUUCAAGAAGGUUCAUGAAUUAUAAUUAAAAUGGUGCUAUUGAUUCUCGGCCGUCAGGAACUUUCACAAACCUUAGCCAACAAUAAUUGCACAUUAUUUGCCUAAUAUUAUGUUACUGCCAAUGUAUAACUUUGGCAGAACCUUGAUACAAUUAUUAGUUGUAGGUUAUAUGUGUGGUGAUAUAAAAGGGUGAUGAACAGGUGUUUAAUGGAAAGUUUGGAAGUUUAGCUAACAUUUAAGAAAUAUUAAACUAAUUUAUUAAUAUAUAAUCUUAAUUUUGAAAAAGAAAAAAAAAUCUCCAUAGUCUACCUAACUUAACACCGACUCAGAGCUAGAGUUGUCUCGUCCAAUAUACAUAUGAGCACCCUUCUGCAUAUUGAACUAGCCCCUUGGAAAAAAGGGAAAACCAUCCACAACCACUUGAAUUUGUAUCACUGAAUAUCUAGUGUGUACUGAAAAGUUUGGAAAUCUAACUACACAUGUAACAAAGUUCCAACUAUUUUUUUCUAUAGAUAAUCUCAAUUUUGGCAACCAAAAAUCUCCAUAGUACCUAAAUUAAAGACGACUCCGAUCUAGAGUUGGUCUUGCCCCAUACGUUCCGACAAAUAAAACACGACAUCAUAUUUAUGAGCACCGCCUGCAUAUUGUGCUAGCGGGUAAGGGCCAUUCUUUUGGGCGGCUUAAAAAAUAAGCCGCCUCUCCAAGCUUCAAAAAUAAGCCGCCCCUAAUUUUGUUGACACUUCUAAAUCAGUUAAUCCAUAACUAGUUUAAAAGUCUUAAUAAAUAAAAAAGGCGGCUUAUGAAAAAUGCCGGGGAGGAGGCGGCUUAUUUUUUUAAUCUACCAAAAGAACUUGUCCUUGGUAUCAGGUGAUACCACCAUUCGCAUGCACAAGUGCUCCUAAUUAUAGAAACUCGCACUUAAAUGUUUUAAAAAUUCACAAAAGUUGUGGAUGUUCACAAGGGAUGUCUACAACUAUUUAAAAAAUCAAAUCCAAAAUCAAAAUACACAUAGAGAAACAAAAAAGAAAAAUUCUAAUAUGAAUAGUGUCAAAAAAGACAAAAACAUGAACAACGUGGAAACAUGACGCUAUUCACAUCUGGAUUUCCUUUUUUGUUUCUCUAUGCAUGUUACGAAUUUUUGUUUGAAAAUUUUAAGGGCUGCAGAUACUUGUCUUAUAGACAUGCACACGAAAAAAAAA
rnacentral:lncRNA from 1 species